UUGUUCGUGGCAGUUUGUGGCGUCCUGAAGCUGGAUUUGGCUUGAAAAUGUCGUUCCCUAAAGAAAAUAAGAAUAGGAUAGGUUUGUACAGUUUGAUUUAUGGAGUGAUCUGUUAUAAUGUUGAAUGACCAAAGUAAAUAAUAUUUGAAUUUAAAGCUUACAAUAUGACAGGCAGCUUUGGUAAAUGGAAAAAAAGGGAAACAAGAACUUGAAAGUGUCGUGCGUCUAACAAAAUUUGAAGAAAAUUGAUCCAAAAAAUCAAGAGCCUGAUAAAAAGCGAGGACCCAUUGACAUCGUUUCUCAUAAAAAUUCAAGAUCUCAAUAGUAACAAAGUUGGUGUGGACCACAAUAGUUCUACCCAAAAAAUUUAUACCAGGGACCAUACUUCCAAUCCUGAAAGAACUGCAAGUUUGUCUAGCAGCUAAGCUCUCGUAAUUCACAGGGAGUAAAUGAACGUCUAACUUGAACAGAAAUUAAAUAAAUUGAAGGAGAAGAAACUAAAAUGGAAAAAUAAAAAGAGGACUCAAAAUUGCAAAACUUUCACAAACCACCAAGGCAGCAUCUGUGUCAUCAACACCUGAUCAUACAGAGUUUGCCAAAACAGAAAUUUCUGAGCCAAGAAUAACAAGUACACUGCCAAAGCCAAUUUUCAACAGUGAAGGCCGCCUGGUUUUCAGCAAAUUUGAUUUGGAGAACUAAUUACUCCAUUACCCAUUCUGAAAAAGACCUCUUUAUAUCCAAAAGCAGCAAUGAUUAAAAUUUAAAAAAACGUCAAAGAAAAAGUGAAAAUCUUGGAAGGCAAAGGUGAAGUUGAGAAGGCAAGAAGCAUUGAAGGGAAACAGGCAUGGAGAGGUUCUCUGCAAAGAGCUGAAGGAGUUAAGGAAAAAACGAUGUGAAUUGCUUGCUAAGUCAAUUAAAAAACGCGAUAAAAUCAAAUCACAAAGUAAAAAGAAGUGGACGAAUGCACCGAAGAACAGAAAAAGAGAAAAGCCAACAUUAAGAAAAAUUUAAAAAAUAGAACCUAAACUAAUGAAAAAAGGCCAAUUUAUCGUAUUAAUGACCGAAACUGACUCUUGGAUGAGUUAACUCGUGUUCUGUGAUGUGCAAAACAUGUGAUAGUUUUGUAUGAAAAUAAACUGGCAUGGUUUCCAUGUUCGAUGAAAA